rnacentral:rRNA from 1 species
GACGAACGCUGGCGGCGUGCUUAACACAUGCAAGUCGAGCGGAAAGGCCCUUCGGGGUACUCGAGCGGCGAACGGGUGAGUAACACGUGAGCAACCUGCCCUUAGCUUUGGGAUAACCCUCGGAAACGGGGGCUAAUACCGAAUGUUCACUACUUGUCGCAUGGUGGGUGGUGGAAAGUUUUUCGGCUAGGGAUGGGCUCGCGGCCUAUCAGCUUGUUGGUGGGGUGAUGGCCUACCAAGGCGACGACGGGUAGCCGGCCUGAGAGGGCG